CUAGAAAGACAGGAGUUGAACCUGCACAAAAAAACUCAAAAUCUUCUGCACUUCCAUUAUACUACUUCCUA
rnacentral:tRNA from 1 species